CAGAAGGUAGUUUAAUUAAAAUACCAGCUUUGGGAGUUGGUGACGGAGGUUUAAUUCCUCUCUUUCUGA
rnacentral:tRNA from 1 species